GAUGAAGAACGCAGCGAAAUGCGAUAAGUAAUGUGAAUUGCAGAAUUCAGUGAAUCAUCGAAUCUUUGAACGCACAUUGCGCCCGCCAGUAUUCUGGCGGGCAUGCCUGUCUGAGCGUCAUUUCAACCCUCAUGCCCCUAGGGCGUGGUGUUGGGGAUCGGCCAAAGCCCGCGAGGGACGGCCGGCCCCUAAAUCUAGUGGCGGACCCGUCGUGGCCUCCUCUGCGAAGUAGUGAUAUUCCGCAUCGGAGAGCGAUGAGCCCCUGCCGUUAAACCCCCAACUUUCCAAGGUUGACCUCAGAUCAGGUAGGAAUACCCGCUGAACUUAAGCAUAUCAAGCGGAGGA
rnacentral:misc_RNA from 1 species